UCUCUCUCUAAAUGAUUGCUCUCUAGAACCAUCUGUUUCUCUCCUUCUUCUCUGAUGAAACGUUGUCUUUCCGACCAUACCCCUCCCUCACUUCUCUCGAUCUUCAGUCACCAUGGAACCCUCAUCAUCGUUGCUCACCUCCGAAGCUCGAAGCCCAAAGUCAUCCGCCAUGAAAGACGGUCACUGAAGCUUUACUUGGGUCUGUUUCCGGCUUUUCUCCGGUUUUUUUUGUCCGAUGAUGCCUUCUAUGGCAUCAUAUACGAGUUUCACGGCCAGGUUCUUCGUUUUCCUUAAUUUGUGUGCAAACCCUAAUUUUUCUACUCAAACCUCUUUAAUAUCUACUCUUUUAAAACAACUUUCAGUUUGAUUUUGUUUUAUACUCUAUUUUUACUUGGUGUUUCCGAUUAUUUCAAACUUCAGAUGGUUACCACUCUUUCAAAUUAGGGUUUCUGACCCCCUUCUUCAAAAUCGUUUCUUCUGCUCUUUGUGAGUACUAUAUGUUUGUUUAUGUUUAUUUGUUUUCUUCGUUUGUUUGGUGUCCUUGUUAACCUGGGUCCAUGCUUUAAUUUUUCUUGCUAGGGUUUCUGACCCCUUUUAAUCAUUAUGCCUCUGUUUCUUUUGGGUAUUAUGUGAUUACUCCCAUGCUAUGUGCUUGAAACCUUUUGUUUUCUGAGUUUCAUUCCUUAAAUCUCUUCUAGGGUUCCGAGUCCCCAAUGUUUUAUGCAAUUUCUUACUUAGGGUUCUUAGUUUUGUGAUAGUUGUCCUUAAAUAAAUUCGAAUGCCUUUCUUUACUGAAUAUUCUGUUAAUUCCGAGCAUCUUUUUGAAUCCCUAGUUUGUAGGUGUUCCUACACUGAUUUUUCAAAUUAUUUCCUUACUUAUGAGAUUGCUCUCUAGGUUUGGGACUGAUUCUCUUUUAUUUUUUGUCCUGCCAUGAUUCUUUGAUUGAUUUCCAUGGUUAAUUUAUAUGGUUACCAUAACUGUGCACUUAAAUAUAUUUUUGUCUAUCCUGCAUAUAUUUUUCCUUGCUUGAAGCAUUUGUACCUAGACUGUAUUACAUGCAGCAUGCUUACUGCUUUUGUUAUAGUAUAUUCAGUCAUCAGAUUUAUUCUUUCCUUACUUGGUAGCCUAUACUCCUAUUAGAAUCAUCAGUCCCUGAUUAAUUUGAAUUAAGAUCCUGUGACUUAUUCAAAUUGGUACUGUUCUAUAAUUAGGUACAUGUUACCCUAUUUUUUACUAUUUUUCAAAAAGCUAUAAGUACUACUCCCCUCUUCUCACUUGAUACAGAGCCACACAAAUACAAUUUCUCUAAAUCUUCUUUCAAAAAACACACACUGCAUAUCCCUCACAACCUCAGACUCUCUGAAUUCUCUCUUUCUCUGUUGUUACUACACUCUCUCAUUCUUCUAUUUGAACACUCAAUCGGCUGAAAGCCAAGAUUGAGUAAGCUUGGUUGUCUACUAUACUACUGGGUUUCUACUGCAGUAUUUGUUUGGGUUUGCAUGUUCCUUGCUUCUCUGCACUGCUGUUCUCACACUACUGCUCUCAUUCUCUGCACACUUUGCUCUCCCUUUGUGCACUAUUGCUCAUUGCUAUUGUGUUCUAUUACCUGCAACUGGUAUGCCACCUAUUUAAGAUAUAGCCUACAAAACAACAUGCUUCUAUUAGUUUUGCACUUCAGAUUAUUUCUUGUGUGCUUUUACCUAUGGUUCUGUUGCUCUUAUUGUCACUAGCAUGUACUUGUUAGUCUACCUAGUUUAACUUAGAAUGUUUCCCCCUACCCCCCUUUUCUUGUCUCGAUGUAUAUUUUCCUCUUCCAUGUGCACUGCUGCUUGGCAACUUAACAACCCUGAAACCUCUCCCUGAGGUUGAUUAUAUUGGGGUUUGGUGCAGUAAGAACUAAACCCCUGGUUUACAAUCAUGUCUUGUUACUUUCCUCCAAUAAGUUGUCUGUACACUUUACUUACUUGUUCCCUUCCCCUUUGCCCCCUGUUUGUGUGAUGCCAUGAGAUGGUCCAAAUGAUUUCAAAAGAACUUCUUCAGCUCUUUCUACUAUUUUCUUAAACUGUCUCAACUUUUCAAACUCUUUCAAGUGUUUUCUUAGACUGUCUCUCAACUAUUUUCAACUCUCUCAAUUCUAAUCAUAAUCUCAUUCUUAGAACCUUAGGGUUUGUCCUCUUAGUGUAAGCAUUGCCUUGAGAUCCUUGAGCACCCAUUGAAUUUUGAUGCAGAAGGCUAGCACUUCUACACUUGUCUAAUUAUGAUGUUUUGGGUGCUUGGUAUUGGUCAUGGGUUCAAACGAACCCUUAGGGAACUUUGCCGCAUCCACGCCUUGGUAAUGGCUGUGAAACUAGAAAGAAGUGAGGUUGGAGAUCUUAGGCCUGGCUGUAGGCUCCCUAUAGAAUAGCUUCUUUUUUUAUCACUAUUGUAUUUUUAAAUUACUUGGUUUGUAAUAACUUGUAAAGAACAAUGGGGAUGAUUGUGAAAUUGGGGAGGGUUAUGUAUGAUUAUUAAGGGUAUGGGUAGAAAAUAUAUUCGUAGGAUUUUACUUACCUAUUUGCGAAAUAGAAAUCAUGUUUAGGACAUGCAUUUUACAUGUAGGAAUCCUGUACAUAUGUCUUUUCUUUCAGCUUGUUAUUUUGCCUAUUUUUACAAUCACAAUCAGUUAAUAAUUAAGUUACUACCAAUGCAUUUAGAUACCAUGUUUUAGGGCCUUUAUAUGCAUUAGAUAUCAUGUACUUAGGGUUUUUAUUUGCAACUGUUUAAUGUCUCACUAAUUUUGUUAAACAGACGUAAAACUGGUUAAUAGGUUCCUUUUAAAACUGGGAAACAAACACGCAUGUUCACUUUCUCUUAUGGUUAAACAACGCCUAAGCAAACCUUAGGCUGGAUAAAAUUGGUUAAUCGCCG
rnacentral:lncRNA from 1 species